UACAGAGGGGGCAAGCGUUGUUCGGAAUUACUGGGCGUAAAGGGCGCGUAGGCGGCCUGUUAAGUCAGACGUGAAAUCCCUCGGCUCAACCGGGGAACUGCGUCUGAUACUGGCGGGCUUGAGUUCGGGAGAGGGAUGUGGAAUUCCAGGUGUAGCGGUGAAAUGCGUAGAUAUCUGGAGGAACACCGGUGGCGAAGGCGGCAUCCUGGACCGACACUGACGCUGAGGCGCGAAAGCCAGGGGAGCAAACGGG
rnacentral:rRNA from 1 species